rnacentral:rRNA from 1 species
UACAGAGGGUGCAAGCGUUGUUCGGAAUUACUGGGCGUAAAGCGCGUGUAGGCGGCGAUCUAAGUCGGAUGUGAAAGCCCUCGGCUUAACCGAGGAAGUGCAUUCGAUACUGGGUUGCUUGAGUACCGGAGGGGAUGGCGGAAUUCCUGGUGUAGAGGUGAAAUUCGUAGAUAUCAGGAGGAACACCUGUGGCGAAGGCGGCCAUCUGGACGGUAACUGACGCUGAGACGCGAAAGCGUGGGGAGCGAUCCGG